rnacentral:rRNA from 1 species
UUGAACGCUGGCGGCAGGCCUAACACAUGCAAGUCGAGCGGAUGAAGGGAGCUUGCUCCUGGAUUCAGCGGCGGACGGGUGAGUAAUGCCUAGGAAUCUGCCUGGUAGUGGGGGAUAACGUCCGGAAACGGGCGCUAAUACCGCAUACGUCCUGAGGGAGAAAGUGUGGGAUCUUCGGACCUCACGCUAUCAGAUGAGCCUAGGUCGGAUUAGCUAGUUGGUGGGGUAAAGGCCUACCAAGGCGACGAUCCGUAACUGGUCUGAGAGGAUGAUCAGUCACACUGGAACUGAGACACGGUCCAGACUCCUACGGGAGGCAGCAGUGGGGAAUAUUGGACAAUGGGCGAAAGCCUGAUCCAGCCAUGCCGCGUGUGUGAAGAAGGUCUUCGGAUUGUAAAGCACUUUAAGUUGGGAGGAAGGGCAGUAAGUUAAUACCUUGCUGUUUUGACGUUACCAACAGAAUAAGCACCGGCUAACUUCGUGC